GGCCAUGUGGUUCUGUGAUGGGAGCCUGCACCUCCUUGCUGCCUGGUCCUCUGGGCAGACACUGCUGCUCAGAGCCACCGUGGUGGACUGGCAGGAGGGCACAGGGCCCUGCUGUUGAGGACACUGGCUUCUCCUUGUUGCCACGCCCUUGAAUCUGGGCCCCAGACUCUCGGGGGGUGCCUGGCUGGUGGAAGAAGGCGCUAGCAGCCCACCUGUGUUAAUAAGCACCUGCAGCAUACACUGUGGUACCUGGUCUGCCCCGCGGGCCUGCCGGGACAUGGGGUGCGGGGGCAGUCCCCACCGUUUCAUGAGUGUGGGCUACUGCUGAGCAUACAGUAUCUCAUUUAAUCCUCAGGGUAAUCACAUGUCAUGGUUGUCGUUAGCACUGAUUUAUGGACGAAAAAGCUGAGACAGGAAGAGGUUAGUUAACUUGCCCUGGGUCGUACAGCCAGUAACUUGGGAGUCUCCCUGACUCAGAGCCUCCCGGAGUCAGUCCUGAUGCCCGUGCGGGGGGCACCCAGAGCUCAGGGCUUAGUGCCAGGAAGACCUGGGGAUGGUUUAUUGCUCGGUUGUUCCUUUACUGGCUGGCUGGUCUCGGCCAGCUUCCCUUGCUUUUCUCAUCUGUUCAUCUGUAAAAUGUGAAUAACUGCGUAUACUUCACAAGGCUUCGAGCCACGGGGCAGGGUGGGGAUGGUGAAAUGGGAUAAUGUGUCAUAAAACUUCUUUGUGCACUAGAAAGAGUUAUACAUACAAGACACCUCACUUAAAUGAGUCAGUAGUAAAAACUUAUCUUAAAAAAUUACAAAAAUGGCACAUGGAGAUGUUCCCUUUUUUUUUUUCCCUUAAAAAAGGAAAUGUGGUUGGUCCUACCUUUGUCUCUGCAGUUGUCAGGCAUGAAAAUGGGGAGGAGUUCAUCAGGGACGGACAGGGUUCGGAGGAGGUCUCCUAAGACAGGGAUGUCGCUAGCUUGCCUAGCACAGGGGCUGUGAGUCUAGCCCUAGCUGCACAUCUGCGCACAGGCUCCUCGGCUCCUAACCUGUGGAUGGAGGUGGUGGUCAUCCCGGCUUCUGAGCCUGUCGUGAGGACCGAGCCGGGAUACACGUGUGGGGCCGGCACCAGGCUCAGUGGAUGUUGAGGUCCACGUUCAUGAUGAGGAGAAGACUGGGCAAGUAGGAGGGAAGCGGCAUCCUGAUCUGGAGGCUCAUCCUUAUUUGAAGUUUUUCUCAAAGGGGGACCAGAAAUAUCCGUGUCUUUUGGGAAUGAGGGCCUCGGCCACAGGGCAACCUUGAGAGAAGGCCAGACCCUCAUUAAGGACCCGAAGCCAGAUGGAGGCUCUGUUUCCAAAUCGGGGCGGGGGCAUCGGUGGGGGUCAGGGCUGCAAGUCCUCUUGCAGGCGGCAGGGAGAUGGCUGUGUCUUAAGAGGUCAGUGUGCCGGGUUCCAACUUGGGCCGGAGCAAACGGGGAGGUAAGACGUGGUGGGGGAGGGGGAGACUAAUGUUGGCAGUAGCUCAUGGGGUCCCCUUUCUCUCUUUCUUGUAUGAAGGUGAUACAGAAACUCUGGGUAUAGCCCAGAGGUACUCAGCCGUCAGUCAGUAUCUGGGCCUUUUAUGAUUUCAAAAGUGAAAGGUAAAUGUUGAUAUUUAGGAUAUUUAGAAAAGUGAAAGUGUUAGUCGCUCAGUCGUGUUUGACUCUCUAUGACCCCAUGGACUGUAGCCCGUCAGGCUCCUCUGUCCAUGGCAUUCUCCAGGCACUAAUGCUGGAGUGGGUUGCCAUGUCCUUCUCCAGGGGAAUCUUCCUGACCCAGGGAGUGAACCCAGGUCCCCUGCAAUGCAGGCAGAUUCUUUACUGUCUUAGAAGUAGACCCCAAAGAACUCGUACCGUGUUCCACUCCUGUGUUCACGUGUUCAUCCGGCCAGCAGGCGGUCGCCGGAAACAGGCGCACCAUCCGUGGUGGCGUGACGGCCUGCGAGACGCAGUCCAGGGCCACAGGAAGCUUCCUUGCAGGCAGGCUGUUUUAUAACUGUUCCCAAAUCAUGUUAGCUCUGGAAUCUAUUUUAGGAACUCCUUUGGUUAUGAACCGUAUCUUAUAUUUAAUUUUGAUUCUCUUUCUCCUCCUGCCCUGGAUUCAGUAGCCUCGUCCACAAACACUGUGUGCCUGGCGUUAUCUUAGGUGUUAGAAAUAUUUAGAAGAAUCAGAGCUCCUUGGUAGGAACACGUUAACGAACUAGAGCCUGUGCCUAGAACAGCCUCCCGAGGACUUCAGUUCUUUGUGCAGCCACCACUUCCAUGUCUCAGAGGAACCCUGAGCUGCUAUCUGGAGCCCAUCAGUAUUUGUGAGCUGCCUAGAACAGGGGGUCAAGGCAGAGAGGCUUUGCCCCCCUUUUCGUUGGUUGGUGAGUGUUUGUAAGAAUUGCAGCCACUCCCGGGGCCACCUGAAGGUAGGUGAGGCUCUGUGUUUCUGCCUACCCCCGGGGUCUGCGACAGCGCUUCUUUGCCCCUUUCUCUUCAUCUGCUCCUGUAUCUGGUGAGGAUGCUGUUGGGCUCUUUGCUUGGCUCAUAUCUACAGUCAGUAGCCGUGGGGAGCUAUUAAGGUCUCUGGUCUUUCUCUGGGAGAGUGUGGGUUUGACAGAGGGUGCCUGCCCACCUCUAAGAUAAGCUGUCUCCUCCGUCCUCAGCCUUGCGCUGGGCCACGCCAGAAAGAAAACCUCAUGACUGAUCCCAAGGUAUAGAGUUGACGAAGCACUAUGUUCAGCUCAGAGCAAACCACCCUUCGCAUCCUCUGGCCAGGAGGUGUCAGUGACAAUGUUCUGUGUUCAGCCCAGAGCAAGCCACCCUUCUCAUCCUCUGGCCAGGGGGUGUUAGUAAAAGCACAGGUCGGGUGUCCCUUUGACAUCUGCUUGGGGAUCCUUUCUAGAAGCUGGAGUAACGAGGAUUAACUUCAUGUUUGAUGAGUCUAGAUCAGGAAGGAGAGAGCAGCAGGGGUCUCACGGGACCAGUGCGCCCAGGGAAGGGACCAGAACCAAGUAAGCCCGUUUUGUGUCUGCCAGGGACUUGAGGUGGUGAUGUUGACAGGGAGGCCAAAUCUAGCCUCAUGAGCCAAUCAUCAAUCAACAAGUAGAGAUUGGGGUGCCUCUGGGAGCUUCACAUUAGAGGGAAUGAGAGUUCUAAACCUGGCCCAGGCCUUGUCUUUGAAAAGUUCAGGCUCUAGUUGGAGGCUCUGGACUGUAACAGAGGGCUCCACGUGCUGCUGGCACUUGGAGAAGGGAGGGCAGCCGUGGCCAUCUCUCCUGCCUGGGAAAGGCUGGAGAACAAAGGUCAAUCUCUUGCCUCAUCUGGGAGAGACAGUGGGUCUCUGGUCCUCGCGCCCAUCAGCAGUGUCAGCCUGCCUUCUCCUUGCAGGAGCUUGGCCAGUGGAAAGGACCCAUCCAGGGAGCUCCUCAGGGCACGGAGCUCUAGGUGAGAGAACAGGCUUCAGUUCCCAGCUCAGGGGAGUUAAGUAGAUUUGUGGACAUAGUAUAUGUGAAAGCCUCUGGUUGAGUGUUUUUCAAUGGAGCAAUAACUCAGCAGAACUUGGUUGAUACGUUCCUAGGAUCAUGACUGAGAGUUUCCCAAGGAAGAUACCACGGCAAGGUUUAAUCAGAUUGUUGGGGGGCGGGGUGAGGAUGGGCAUGGGGGGACGGUAGCCACCCUGCUGGAGAAGGCAAGUGAGAGGGAGUGAGAGAUUCUGCUGGAAGAAGGCUCUGCUGGAGACCGGUCUGCUGGCCCUCCUGCUUGUGGAGCGUUUGUUCAGGUCUUGAUCCCAGCGAGGAGAGAUGUCAAAGCAGAAGAAGGGCAGAGCAGGGCUGCUGGCUGCUGAGGAGUGGUUAGAGUGUGGGCAUGUUUACCCCAGAAAGGCGGGCAGAACGGGUUUGCUGGGCGCGGUUGUGUGCAUGGACAGGACCGUCCCGCGAUGUGGGUGCUGGGCUCGCUUACUCAGGGGUGCUCCAGAGGACAGGCUGGGGCUGCUGGGUGACAGUGGCUGGGGUGAGGGGCCACUGCUGAUGCAGGGGACUGGGUUAGUGUCCCUCCCGUGGAGCUGGGAAGGAUGUGAGCGACGGAAGACGGGUGACUGAGGCAAUGAGCUCCUUCAAGUGGGGCGCGGGUGGCGGUGGGGGGCGGGUUCUGGCGUUUGCAGGUAAGUUGAAUGGCCACCACGGGAGGAUGCUAAGAAUAAAGCAGUCACCCCAGCUGCCACUUCCUGCACCUUGCUCUGUACCAAGCAGUGCUGCCAAGUGUUUCACACCUAUGGACCCUACAGCACUGGGCAGUGGAGACGGAGACGGCAGCCCACUCCAGCAUUCUUGCCUGGUGGAUCCCAGGGACAGAGGAGCCUGGCAGGCUACAGUCCAUGGGGUCGCAAAGAGUCGGACACAACUGACGCGGCCGUCAAGCAGUGCUACCAAGUGUUUACUGCAUGGACUCAUUUAAACUCAUUUAAUCGCCCACAACACUGUGGGCAGGGGUGUGAGUUUUUCAUUAGCCCUACUUUAAGAUGAGAAACUUAGCCUGAGAUCUGAAGUAACCCACCAAGGUCCCACACCCUGGCCUCCAGCCCAAGGCCAGUCUUCACGUAUUGGUGAAAGGUGAGGCUGCAUGAUUCACAGGAUGCCUCAUAUACCAGGUUUCUAAGCCUUCUAAGCCGGGUGGGCCAUCCCCGCCACUGGGAUGGAGUCAGGCGGCAUUCUUGGGUCCAGGGCAGGAGUGAUGAUUCCUGCUCUCCCCGUGACUUCACAGGGACUGGGUCAGCAGGCGUGUGCCAUUGGCUGUGAGGAACUGGCCUUGCGGGGGAAGUGGCUGGGGCAUCCCCAGACCUAUCUCGGCAUCUCCACUCCUCCCGUCCACGUCCUCUAGCCCUCUGGUGACACUAGUCUCUCGGAAGCACCGGUGGUCCUUUUGUGGGUUGGCUUCCCCAGAAACUUCCUGAGUGCGUCACCAGCGCACUCAGCCUGAAGGCAUCCCACCACCCACAUGAGCUCUGUCCCUCCCGUUAGCUCCAGCGACUCCCAGGGCCUCGACCCGCCGUACCUGCAGGUGGGGUUACGAAGCCAGCUGUCCUCUUACUGUCCUGAUGUCCUUGUUCUCCAGCCUCUGGCAGCCAGCAGGGACCCUGCUUCCGUGGGCAGGGUUAACUGCAGAGAGCCCAGCACCAAGCCUGACCCAUGGUCGGUCCCAGACAUUUUUCGGGGGGAUAGAAAAGAUGUAGGACUCCCUGCCUUCUCAGUGUCCACGCUGGGCCCCGGGGAGGUUGGAGAUGUUAGAGGGAGGGUGGUGGACCACUCCUCUUGCUCCAUGUUACAUGGCAGUACGGGGAGAGAGCUCUCCGAGUCAUCCUUUGUGUUUUAAAGCUGUCACUGCUGCUCUGUUUUGUGGAGGAAAACCCUGACCUUCUUACCUGAGUGAAUCCUAUCCUGAGAAUAACGGCCUCCCGCCAGUCCCAGAGGCCUUCAGGGAGCAGAACUCUCAGCAUUGUUCCAACACCAUCCCUGCGCAAGUAAGACACCCACAGGGCCUCCUCGCACCUAAUAGGUCUGGUCAUCAGCCCCUCCCGACUCUUGAGCUCUGUAUGCAGAAGACGUACUCAGACAUUUUGUAGGAGCUUACUUUGGUCAAGGCUUAAUAUUAUGAAAAUCAUAUAAAAUGCAUCCUCAGUAUGGCCCCGAAUAUGACAUUCAAGAUUAUGUUUUAGCCUCCCCCAUCAGAUGAGAGCCUUGGCUCUGCUCCAGCUCCCGACAAGGCCAGCGUUUUGCUGAAAGUCAGGAGUCACGCCCUGGUGUGCGCGAUGGUCCUGGGGUCUUUCCUCUCCUACUGAGGCUGUGGCCUAGGGCAGGGGCAUGCCCUUGGAUGGGGGAGAAGGCAGUAUGGAAACUAAAGCUCAAAUCUGAGCUGUUUGGGGAACUCCCAUCCUACUGGUAAUUUGCGACAACUUCUGUCUGGUUCUGACUCAGCUAAGCGCAGCAAUAGUUGGUUCCAGGGCAAGAAACUCCACUUUUGAGACACAUAGUGCUAAGCUCGUGUGGUCAUGCAGAGGUCAGUCCAGCCUCAUGAAUCAUCAGUUGCCCAGAUUCUCUGUACCCUGGAGAUGUCUCCUUCUGCUCAAAGCUUCCCUCUUCAAUCAAGAACCCCAAGAGUGGCAGUAACAUCUAAGGGUCCCAGCCUAUGUGUGGAGGGCACCUGGCCAGGACACCCUCGUUUCCCAGCCACACCUGUCCAUGGCACAGACCACUGGUUCCGCCGUGUAGGGAGGUGGUAGAGCUUCCUUCAGUCCAGCUCACGUGGACCGGCCACACUCCAUCUCUGGAAAUUAUUUCCAUCCGGUGACAGGGCCAGGGUUUCAAGAGCAGCCAGCCAAGAGUCGAGUUAGGUUACUCUCUGAGUCCCAGGAAAGACUUUGCCCCCUGCAUUUUGGGCAGCUCUAGAAGCCCCUGGUCUGGAGCUUCUGACUAGUGGAAUGACCGUGUUUACUGAGCCCCCAGCCCAUCGUCAGAAUAGCAGGUGCCCAUUGCAUUGCCAGCCUGGGUUUUGCUUGAGGCUGAGCCGUGAGCCCUCUAGGGACAGUAGCUUGGAAAGAUCGGUGGCCUAGGGGAAGACAGACAUUUUGGCCUCUUUCAUUUUCCCAGGAGGUGAUGGGAGCCAGCUUGGGCAGGACACUUUGGAGCCUGGAGUUUUGGCCUGAGAGGCGGACUGACUCAGUCUGCCCAGGAGAAAGCAUCUACUUACAAACAGGGCAUACUGGUCAUAGUACCUGCCACCCUAGGCCUGACUGACCACCUAAACAGACGUGGCCCAUUGCUCUCCUGCCCCUGGUGUAUUUCACGCGGACGUCUGUGUUGGUGCUGGGACUCAUUUCUGUCUGUUAAGGCCCUGACUUGGCCGACACUCCUCUCCUUUCACCCUGCAGUCGGGGGAGUCCCAUGUUCCUGGGUCCGGCGUCUGCCAGGCCACUGACUGUCUGCUGCCUGGCUCCAGCUGCCUGCCCGCGGUGGCAUCUGAGUCUGCAUCUUCAUGUCACCUCUGUCAGGACCUGCCCUCCAGCACAGGCUGUCCCCGGCCCUUGUCUCUCAGAUUCUCACUUGGCACGUGGUGUGGCGUUGUGUCCUUGGAAGUGCUUGUGGUCACUGCUGGGGCCUUGUUUUGCUUCAGCUCAGCAGUCUGGGCAGAAGUGCCAUGGUCCCCCCGGGUGGGGAAUUUGAUGGGAAAAACCCCGCCAUGGUUCUAGGGUCCUUGUUCCUGGAGACUGACGAGAUUUGGUCUUUAAGGCUGUGACGCUGACCACAUCAUGGUCAUUAUUAUUAAUCGAAACUGUUCACGGCACUGUUCUUUCAGGAACCUUCUUCCCUUGGCUACCAUCAGACUUCUGAUCUACAAGUACCAUUUCUGACACACAUAACCCACCCUCCCCCAUUCAAUUCAGCACAUUUUUAGGCUUUUUCCAAUUAUAUAUAUUCAUAGACUCUGUGUUUUUAUUUGUUCUUGAAGUUCCUUGAGAUUUUCCUUAGAAUUUCCUUACCAGGUAUUUAACUGUCCCAGCACAUUUGGCCUUUACAUGGCAUCUCAGCCUUUUUCCUCCAAGCCCCUCCUCUGUCUUAAGCCUACCACCCGCACGCACUCAAUCUUGUCUACUCGGUCUUGUCUUGUGGCUAUGCCUGGUUAGUACUUGGUUGGAAGACCCUGAUUGCCAGGUGCUAUAGGUCUUUUAGGUGUUACUAGGCCUUUUCUUCCAGUGCUUGGCAUGGUACCAACCAAAACAUCAUCGUCUGUCAUCAUCAUCAUCAACAUAGCGAUACUGGUAUCUGUUGAACAUUAACUUUGUGUUGGGCAUUGUGCUAAAUGUCUCAUACCAUCCUCACCAAGAAAAUCCAUAGGAAGUACAGAUGAAGCUCAAACUAGAAACCUAGGGAGGUCAAACAAGUUAGUCAAGUCUCUAUAACUAGUAGAGACUGUACAAAGAUACACAUUCAAUCCUGUCUCAUUUUAGAGUCUGAUUUUUUUUUAACCACAAUCUGUAUUAUCUUUGUUUAGUUAUACGCACUCGGUAAAGAUUUGUUGAAUGGCAAGAUUGCUCCCACAGUCGGGCUGGUCUCUGAGAUACCACUCCCCAUGAUGAAAGUCCCCAAUAUUUUUUAACACUUAAGAUUCCUAGGCUCUGUGAUAAUGGGAUGUAAGUCAUACACACCAGAUUAAGCUACAUAAUCUGCACAGCUCAUUGAGGAAGCUUUCCCCCAUCUGCAGAUCAGGAAACUGAGGCUCAGAAAGACUGAGUUAACUUGCUCAAGAUCACACAGCAGAAAGUAUGUAGUUGGGAUUUCGAUGCCAGUUAUCUCUUGAACAGUAUAAGUCUCUUCUCUUGAUCACUGUAUUACUGUUUAUGAAAACAGGACUAAUUUCUUCCUCUGUCCCUUUCUUCUUGCUGCUGCCUUCCUUAGCUUGGGGAGCUUUUUCUGUGUCUGUUUCUUUUCAUCCUAUUCUUUCUGAGAGGCCCAGGCUGGGCUCAGACUGUGUCUGUCCACACUGAACUUUGCAAAGUCAGUUCCUAGAUUGAUAUUUUCUUAAACUUUACUUGCAAACCUAUCUUAAUGUUAAAAAUCACCUGAUUUAAGAUUAGUGCUCCAUACUAUAAUAGUAGAACUAUUUGUCUAUCUUAUAUCUGACUGAAGGAAUGGAACAGAGAGCCUGGUGGCAAGCCCCUGUAUAUCUGGACACCUGAUUGAUGACGGAGUGGGCACUGCUGAGCAGUAGGGAAUGGACGGUCAUUUUAAUAAUAAACAGCGCUGGGUCAGUUGGAUGUCCACAGGGAAAGAAAUGAAUCUUGACUGCUACCUCACGUCAUACACAAAAAUAAACUCCAGAGAGGUCAUCAAUCUCAAUGUGAAAGUUAAGACAAAAUAAAACUUCAUCGACAAGAUCACUUAGCAUAUUUUCAUAACCUUGAGGUGGCUAUACAUUUUCUUAAAGAAGAUACCGAGAAUGUGAAAAAAAUAAAGGACAGGAUUGAUAAGUUGGAUGACAUUAAAAUGAGGAACUUCUCAUUAUCAAAAGACAUCAAUGAAAGAGAGAAAAGGCAAGCAGAGUGGAGAGGAUACAUGUAAUACCCACUGCUGGCAAGCGCAUUUGUACCCAGGAUGCGUAACUAACCAACAAAUACAUAAGAAAAAGAACACCCCCUCCCCCAAAAAAAAAGGGCAAAAGGAUAUUCCAUGCUUAUAAACGGAGUUGCACGUCUUCUUCUCCCAAGCUCAGGUUGUAGCCCAUUUGUCCCGGGUCAUCGGCACAGCCUGGUGGCUGGCCUUGAGAACUGUCUAAGCCCCUGGCCCAUCUUGUAUUUUCUCUGUCUGGACUGUGGACUCUUCCUUCCGCAUGUCCUGCGUCACUCAGCUGGUUUUCUGCCACUAGUGCCCCCUUUCUCAUGAAUACAUAAGAUAGGUCUCUUCCUCUUUUCCGUUGGCUUGUUAACUUUUGACCAGCUAUUUUAAGAGUAUUUCUCUCUGGCUUCUUCUCCCCUACCAUCCCUCCUGCCCCCCCACCCCCACCCCUUUUUCAUUUCCCUUUUUGUACCUCCUUGUUUAGCCUAAAGACUUGUAAAAGUUAUCCUAAAAUAUCUGAAGGCCUUUGAAGGAGGAGGCUUGUUCUAUGGGCUCCAGAGGCAGAGAGAAGACGUAAAACUGGUCAUUAGUUACCUCGAGAGAGACGUCAUCUUAAGUGAUGUUCCACUGUCUGAGUUCCCCAAAAGUGGGCUGGGGGUUAUGGAGUGAAGCAGAGGCUGGACAGUGCCUUGGUCAUAGUAUUGUUUACGGAGGGCCCUAUGCCUUGGAUGGGCAGCUGGAUUAGGAUAAUCCCUUCCUGUCUGAUCAACACAGCCCUGAACAGAGCCUCUGAGGAUGCCUUGAGCAGCGACUCUCAUCUGGGAGAGAGGGCCUACAAACUGAAAUGAUUCUUCUGUCCUUCUGGGAUUGGGAGGGGGCACAAAUACUAGCACUUUGAGGGUAUCAUGUGUCAAGUUAAAAAUAACUCUGAAGCACCCCUCCACCCGCAGCCCUCAACGUGGGGCUGUUGGACAACCAUUGACCCGAAAGGCAGGAUUUCCUUAUUUUCUUCUGCGCCAUUCUUUCCUCUAGUAACAGCAUCUGUGUGGUGAAUUUUUUCAGUCUUAUCUUCUUUGUUUCUUUCUUUAAAUCCUCACUUGGGCAGCGCAGGUUCCUAUAGCAUAUUGGAUAUAUCACCACAGAGAAAACACAAUAGAGGCUCUGCAGGUAUAUUCUGGCUUUUAAAAAGUCGGGACGAUGUUUAAAAAUCAAAAGCUUAAUGUAAUACACUUGGAUUUGUAACUUCUCCUGAAAUACUGGACCAUCUGGGCCCUUGGGGGUUUCCACCCCCAGACCUGGGGAAGGGCUUGCUCCUUCCCCUCACACAUCCCCCAGCCUUUACCUGCUGAGCCCCCCAAGGCAUUGAACCUCCUGACUUCCUCAAGUAGUAAAAUAGGCUUUCGUGGGCUAGCCUGGGAUCCCAACCAGUACAUUUAGUAUUGUGAGAAAAUGAAUUCAGCUUUUAAAGAGCAUUUUAGAAAUAUAAAAAAUGCCAAUUCGGGAAUGCUUGUAGGGUCCUCAGUUAGAACCCCUCCCUGCGGUGAGGGGCUGUGUCCUGGACUUCUCCUAUGCUGGAUGUGGCCUCAGCAGCUAGUAGAGGGCGUCCUAAUGAGGGGGGCAUCCCUAGUGGCUCAGUGGUAAAGAAUCCACCUGCAAUACAGGAGACCUGGGUUCAGUCCCUGGGUCGGGAAGAUCCCCUGGAGAAGGAAAUGGCAACCCACUCUCCAUUAUUCUUGCCUGGGAAGUCCUAUAGACAGAGGAGCCUGGAGGGCUGCAGUCCAUGGGCUGGUGAAGAGUCGGACACGACUUAGCGACUCAACAAUCACAACAAAGGUACCUGAUGAAUGAUUUACCUCCUGGGAUCACUGAGUGCCCUCUGCCUGCCCCUCUCCAGGCGGUGAGCAGAAACUCCUUCUCCCUGAGGACCUGAACCUGUCAGUUCCGCCCAAGACCAGACUACUGCUUGGUCUGUUAUCUAGAACACCCACUCGAGCCCUCGAUGCUCGUGCAGAGUUUGGGAUGGGUCCCCUGCACAGCUGCCUGAGUUGAGAGAAGUGACUUCUUUCUUGGUGAAAGAGCCUGCCCCGUUCAGGAGGUGUCCAGGAGGGGAUGGGAGCACAGCGAGGCCUGCGUCAGGCCUCUGCUCUCAGCUGGUGCCUGCCGACCUGGAGUUUGUUGCAAUUACAGACGGCUUAUGUUCCGAACCCAGGGCAAGGGCUGGGUAAAAGUUCAGCUCAUUCCCUUUAAAGAAAAAAAAAAAAAAUUCUUCCUCUUUGACAUUUCAGAGUUUUGACCCAGAUCAGUCAGAGGCCACGAGAGCUCGCGAUGUCUGGAGAGAGCGUUUAGUUCCCAAGGCCUGAAGCUGCAGAGAAGCUGGAGCGAGCUAGUGACCUGCUGGGCUUGAGUUGAAGCCCUGUCUUUUCAAGUGUGCCCUGUCCCAGCCUCCCCAGACCUCACGGGGCAGACAGAAGGAGCGUGCCACCUUCCUCUCCCUCCAAAAGUUAUCUUUACCCCCUGAAAUCAAACACUGAGUACAGCCCUGUAAACUGCUUCCUGGUAGGCUAGGGUGUCCUUGCUAAGUAAACAUCCUCCCCUGUUUUUGGAACCGAGUCCCCUUUCUGAUUCCUGGUCAUCCCAUUUGCGUUUUUCUGUUCUGGAUGCCAUGUACAAUCAGGUUAAUAGAAGGAAGACCUAGAAUGGGGCAGAGGCACCUGAAAUGACUGUUUCAAUCUUAGUAAAACUGUAAGGAGAGUAACGGGGUCGUGGGAAGAAAAAAAGAAGACUUAGAUGAAAAGUGAAAUGAAACAAGACCUCCCAAACAUCGUGCGAUCAUAAGGUUUUGCAAGUCAGAGCUGAUUCCCGCCAAGCGCCCGAUGCGGGGACCUUCCUUUGCAUGGGCUUGAGCUCUGUUGUUCUGUGGUUGAACCACAGUCGGCCUCCGUCUAUAGGCUCUGUGGCUGCGCAGGGCCCCGCUGACCCCAAGUUGCUCUUGUGCCAUCUCUCGUGACUUAUUUGCCUUUCCUCUCUCACGUCCACCCACCCAUGACAUCUCCAUCGCCAUGGCAGUGAGCAGCCACGUCAUUCACCAGCUCACGGGGUGAUGGGCCAACUCUGUGCUGAGCCCUACUUCCUCCUAGUUCUCCCUCCUGAAGCAGGAGGCUCCCUGGCAGAGCUCAAAGCCCUUUGUUUAUUUGAUCCUGGGCUCUUGGAUAAAUCAGGAAUGUCCUGACAUGAACUUAGGCAUGUUUUUCUUCCAUGGAAAAGGAAACUAUGGCAAAUGGUAUUUAAGUAGGCAGAGGACCAUUCCGGGGGACUUGCUUUGGUGCCAUCAAGGCCACAUUCCUUUGGUCAUCAGACCAGUAGGUGACUUCUUUAUUGGCAUGCUUUACCCUGGAGCCCAGAAGGUGUGAAUUUGAAGCACUUUCUCCCCUGCUGAGAGCUUGGCACAGAUGCUCUGGACUUCUUUUAAAGCUGUGGAGUGCCAUGGUUGUCUUCCAAGUGGUCUUCUUUCUGCUGGGUGAAACCCUGGCCCAGAGCAGUUGCUUGAAGAAGCCUGCUUAGGAGUCGAGGUACGGGAUAAGGUGUCUGCCUGGCGCCUCAUUCUCUAGCUGUCUGGAAGUUGCAAGGAUCUCCAUAUGAUAUACUUUGAGGCAGCUGCCCCUGAACCUGAAUGAAUACAUCUCUCACUUCCCAUCAGGACUAGGCUCUUGUGCUACAACUGGUUGUCAGGAACCUUGGCGGGUCUGCCUUUGGAUGUGGCCAUGUGGGAACCCAAGACACCCGGAGACUGUCUAGGUGUGUGUGGUUCAGUGAGUUAGCAUCUGAGCUGUUCGGGAACGAUUUCUGGGUUGGAGGGCAGGAAAAUGUUCGGAGUUGGAGCUGUGUGCUCUGCUGCAGUGGAGACCGGUCAGUAUCCAAAAACAAGUCCGGUCAGUCUCCAGAGCAUUGGUGGGAAACCCCCUCCUUAUAAGUGGUUCCAGGUGUGAAUGCCCAUGUAUUACCAUGGCAGGGGCAGUGGGGGGUGGGCUGGUGGAUGCUUGUCUCAUUAAAGCCAGUCAUUGGCCGCCCAGGGUUCAGUUUGGCUGCCACUCUGGUUUGCUCCUUUUCAUGUUGUCAGAGGAUCUUCUUGGGAACAAAUGACUCAGCAACCUGAAUCUCUGGGACUGAGUAGCCUAACUGCCUUGAGAGUGAUUGGAUGCAUCCACCUAGGUCCUAAAAUUCUGAACCCUGGAAGAGUGGAGAUCCUCUAGAUUCGUCAAGCUGCCAUUCAGUUCAGUUUCUCUCACUCCUGCCCCAAUAGAAGACUCGCAACUCAUGGGGUAAGCAGGCAAUGUUCUAAUUAUGCAUUUUUGUCCUUAGGAAAUUCCAGGGAGAAAAAAGGUCCUGGUUUAUGGCCAAAAAAAGCAGAAUAUAACAAAAAUCAGCUCCGGCUGUAAUACUAGACUUGUCUGUGGCAGAAAGAGUUAAUAGAACAGUGGUUUCAGGGUGGGGACCAUUAUUUUGGGGGAUCCAGGAGAAGCACCUACGGUUCAAGAAAUGAUGACGCCACAUUCAGUGUGGGACAGCCCUGUCUGGGCUCUGGGCACUGUCAUUCAAAGAGUUAAGCUAGUCUGAUGGCAGGGGAGCCCUCGGAGAAGGCGUGAGCCUGCAGGCACUAGGCCCUCUAUGCCCCAGAGCAGUGAGGUCUGGGGUAAAAGGGGCCGGAGAAGUGCAGCCAGAGAAGCGAAGUGUAGGCCCAACUUUUUUUUUGCCUUGUUUGACCAGCCUUGGCACUGCCCUCCGGCUCUCCAGGGGAAAAGCUGCAGUUCUGCUCUUGCAACACAAGGAGCAGACUGGAGAAUUUAGAUCUGCGUCACAGAGCUCUGAGAGAGAGAGAGAGAGGAGAGAGGAGAGAGAGAGCGAGCGCUCCGUGGAUAGGUCUGCUAGCAACAGCCGUGCUGCAGCAGAGAGAGAGAGAGAAAUCAAGAAACAAGUCAUAGCAACACCGGGCACCAGGUUCUGCCAGCUCACUUGCCAAGCGUUCAGAAAUCUGUCGGGGGCCGGAGGCCUCUGGGUAGCCUAGGCUAGGGAGAUGACACGCAAGGUGGCACGGGCGGUUCCCGCGGGGAGGAGGUGGGGUGGCAGUGGGGGGCAGGGUCGGGAGCAAGAGGUUUCGGGGCGAUGGCGGAAGGUUUGCUGGGACCAGUUUCUGGAACAUUCGGGACUGCGGCACCUUACGGCCGGCCGAGAUUUGGGUCUGCGCAGGCGACAAUGGGUGGUCCGACGGGCUUCAGGACUUGAUGGCGUAACCCCCUUCUUCCCCCACGUACGUAUUUGCUGGGAUCGGGGGCGAUGUCUCUGCGUAUGUGGGUGCUCUGUCUUUCUCACCUUCUUUCUCGAUUUUUGCUUUUUUUUUUUCCCUCUGAGGGAGGGUUUUUUUCCACUUUAAUUUCUUUUCCCUUAGUAUCAGCUGCUCAAGCCUGACCAGGGUAAAGGAAAAAGUAGCAAGCCGUCCCCGGAGUCCCACCUGACCUCCCAGCCUUUACCCCCAUUUCUUUCUAUCUGGCAGACAGACAGACUGGUUUUCCAAGUUGUUUGGGUGUCAGUGUCUGUCCGUCCGUCCAUACGGUUCUCAGGUGAAAGGUAAGGAGUGAGGAGGAAGAACACUGUGAGGAAGGCGAGAGGGGCAGCCUUUCCAGGGGUUGCCUGGUUUGAAAUGUUCAUCCCUGGGAACCCAGGGCUGGUGGGGGAGCAGGUGGGCAGGAUGGGGCGUGGGUUGGGAGAAGUGGGGUAAAGCCGAUUCGUUUGUCACUGCGUAGUUGGGGAAAGUGGGGAAUGGUGACGCAGUCACUGUUGGGUCUUGUUGUGGGCUCUGGGGGGACAGGUAGUGAGGCUCCCGAGAUCUGUAGGGCCAGCUGAGAGGGGUUGAGGAUGAGCUGAGAAGGGAAGCUAGCAUUUAGAGAUUAAAUGUCAUCCUUUUGGCGUUGGAAAGUUGUUUACCUUGUGCUCUCUGUGUCUCCAUGUUGGCACCCUUCCAGUUCACAUGUGAUGGCCUUCCUUGUACUGCUGCAUCAUUAACUAAGUGACUGAGCUGGCCUUCCAUUGGCCAGGGGAGGGCUCUCACUCCAGACACUUCCUCUGAUUGGUGGGUGGGCCAAUGGCAGGUGAAAACCUUUUUUUGAUUGGCGGAGGGCAGGGUAUCAAAUCUGAAUUUGCAUUUCACUUGCUUAAAGGGGAGGGGGGAGAAGCCCAGCAGCUUUCUAAAAUCUGUUUAGGGGUGUGCGUAUGCUCCUGUGUCUCUGCCUGAUUUUGACUGACCAGUUGAAGCCUCUUCCUGUGCCUUUUUAAUUUCAUGCACUAUAAGGAAGAGGAGCUAAGGGCUCCCCCAAACUUUUUUUUUGGAGGAGCAAGGGUUGGGGAGGUGGGUGCGCAGAGGGUUGACCAAACUGGAAGAGAAUAUUUGUUCUUUAGUGGGAAUUUUCUGAUCAGCCACACCUCAGCGUUGCGGCAAAAUAAUUCUUGGCUCCCCUGGAAACGCACGGGCAAGGUAGGGCACAGCUGCUACUGCUGCUCUUGCCACCACCCUGGGCUUCCUGCUGACUCUGGGCUACUCCCCGGGGACGAGAGAUUUGCAUUGACGUCCCGGGCUGUCCAGAGAUGAGCCCAUUAUGGGAAGGACCUGCCUUCUGGAAGCUGCUGCUCCCUGGUGCUUGGAAAGGUGAGGAUGGGGACUGAGCCUGGGACACGGCUCAGAAACUGCGUAUUUAUUUAGUGGGGUUUCAGGGAAAGCCAUGGGGCCACAAGAGACGUGGAGGUCCCAGGUCAGAAGGGUUUGUCAUCCUGGGGAGUGAGGAGAGUGAGCAAAACUAGGGCAGCCGGCUGCUCGCCUCUGGUUGGGGGAAGAGGGCUUGGGAAAAUCAGGGUCCCAGCUCCCCACCCAGCCCUCGUUGCAACCCCUACGUCCGUGGGGAGGGGGUUUCCGAUCCCCUCAUCUUGCGCAGUGGCCCCCGCCCAUGACUGCGCAUCCAGGAGCGCAAUGCGCUCCGGGUCUCUGGCCUAGGACAGCACCGCCCUUCUUAUUACAUAACGGAGGGCACGGCUGUGCUUUCUCGGCCCUUCCUUGCAACCCUACCUCCUGGCUCCCCAGGGCCCACAGAACUGGGGAGGGUCUGGUGGGAGACAAGUGAUAAGACUUGACUCCCUUGGAGGGCUCGCUCUUGUCCAGUCAGUGAGAGGGGCUGGGUUUGCAGACAGAAAUGGACUGCCGACCCCUGUCUCGGGGUAUGAAAUGCAGAACGUCCUUCUGAAUGCCUUAUGUCACCUAUGGGCCCCCAGGACCUCUCGGGGGCGAGGGGGCGGUGGUGUGGGGGGAGCAGUGCCCUUUUUUCUCUCAUGCUUUGUGAGAGGAAGUUUCUGAAGGAAAGAUGUGACCAUUGGGAGAGUAAGGAAGACUUUGGGGGGCCAGUUGGGAGGUGGUUGACAGUUCUCCUCCCCCUGUCUCUAGCUUCCCUUUCCCUGGGUGGGUUGAUGGCAUUUGGAGACUCCUUUUGAUCAUAAGGCUGCCAUUUUGGAGGCAUUUCUGCUGGUCUCGGACAUGGUGGCGUUGGUUUUUCUGGUCCUGCUGUGCCAGUUCCGCAGAGUGGGCGGGGGGCGGGGGCUGUGACGGAGGAGGGGAGGGGGGGCAAAAGCGCAGCAGAGGCGGGCACAGUGGUGGCUGCCGCAGUGAAGAUGGCCCCACGGGCAGGACUGCCCAGUGCCACUCUCGGACACAGCCCUGGGUGGGGGGUUCCACCAGCUGGGGCCCCGGCUUUGCCCAAACGUGGGCACUGCUCACUGAAGGUCUCGGUCUCCCAUGCCUUCGUCAGCCUGAGGCUUAGAGCAGUCCGGGGGAGGGAAAACCAGGUUUUUGAGGGGGAGGGUAAAAGCAGAGAUAUGGCAGCUCAUCUCCGACGAGUUGGACCUGUGGUUUGUGCUCCCCAAAUAGGUUCUGUCUCUGACAGUCUCUCCAUGGGGACAGGGGGUGGGGUCCGUGGCAGCUUUGACGAUCUAUUUGGAUGGCCCUGCCCUUUCCCCAUUUUUUUCCCUCUGUGUUCCUCCGUACAUCCCCUGCCAGGGCCAUGGUUCCAGCUGUAGUUCUCCAGUGAGGCUCCCUGCCUCCCGUCCCUCUCCUUUCCAGGCCCUUCUGCGUGCAGCGGCCAUCUUGUCUUUCUUGCUCAGAAAUUUAAAAUGGUUUCUCUUCGUCUCCAGAGUGAGAUCCCUUCCCUUUAGCAGGAUGCUGGAGGUUGUCUAUGACUAGUCUCGUCUUAGCUCACCUUUCCAAGUUUGCCUAAGUGGACCAAGUAUUCCAGCAAAACCAAGCAACUUACUUUUUCUUGCCUUUUCUCUGUCUCUGUUCUCACUGCUGAUAUUUCCCAUGCCUCCUCCACUGCACCCACCUGCGGCAGUCCCACUAUCUCCCAAGGACCUUUCCUGAUUACUUUCACGAGAAGCAAUCCUCACACCACCCCUGCUCACUUCGACCAAACUCCCAUAUCUUCAUGCCUCUCUUAUGCUACUUUAGAUGUGCUAGGGUUCUUUUUGAGUUUAAGUCUUAUGUCACCUAUGAGAUUGUGAGCCCCAGGAAGCCAGGGGAAAGAAAGGAAACAUGUACCUAUAUGACGUUUUCUGUUUGGCAGGUACCACAUCCAGCUCAUUGACGGUGGUUAUUUCAUUUAUUCCUCACUGCAACCCUGCAAGGAGUGGCUGCGGUGGCUGCCCGCUUCCUGACGCUAUCGCAUCCCGUGGGAGGGGAGUUGGACACCCUGAAGCCCCUCGUCACCAGUUCCGGGGCUGCAGAGCAGGGAGUGACGACAGCUCAUGAGUCGUCAGCCGACGGCAGCGGGGACCCUGGUGACGGCUGCUUUGUUGUUUUUUUCCUCUUCGGAUGAUGACUCAGUGUGUCGGGAGCCGGGAGAUGGAGCACUCAGCCGAGUGGCCAGGACGUUCUGUCAACAUGAAAGCAGCAAAAACAGCUCGUCGGAGCUCAGAGCUGACCCUGGGCUGGGGUCAUUUUCAGGAAGGGCUUGGCAAAGGAAAGGCGACCGCCACGUAUUGAGUUGGCAAGGGUGAUACCGGGUAACUUAACAGGGCUCUGUAGACCCUUGAAUUUUAGAACCUGAAAAAAAACGCAGCCGUUUGUGUUACUAGAUGAGCUUGGCAACCAGGAUGGCUUCUUGGGCUCCUCGCACUCGUCCCCGACAAAGAGACAUCUUUCCGGGUCCAGAAAACCCCCUUGGGGAUUUCUCAGUGUGGCUCAUUGCCUUGGAUGGAGGGCAAGUCCCUUUUUGGCGGGGAGCAAGGGUGGGGCCUGGCAGCCCUAGUGCCCGUUGUGGGGAUGUAGUGUCUUGGGGGUCUCCUCUGCCAGCAUCACGCGAAGAUGGUGGCUCCCGCGUCACCGGUCUCAAGCCGAAGACCAGCUCUCUCGGGCAGCCAUUCUUCAGACUCCCCUUUCCUCAUCCCAAAUCCCAAGCUUUUCUUCUUCUUCACCAUCUUCCUCACUUCCUCCUCAGGUGCCAUGGUGGGCCUUGACCUCCGCGCGCGCGCGCGCGCGCGCGCGUGUGUGUGUGUGUGUGUGUGGUGUCAUCAUGGCGGCUCGGGGUUCUAGGCUUUUCUCCCGUCUGCAGCAAUGCGCUUUGUGCGCGUGACGCCCCCGUGGCCCCGCCCCGCCGGCCAGGCCCCGCCCUGCCGCCAGGCCCCGCCCCGCCGCCAAGCCUGUCCCUGAGACCCAGCGAGGAGACAGGCCCUUCGUUCUUUCGCCGCAGAAUCUCGGCCAAACCACCAUCAUCCCCAGCAUCCGGCUUCCCUUCUCUCCUCCCGCUCCGUCGGCCAGCGUCUGGGGCAGAGGAGCAAACAACUUGUGGGAGGGGAUGAUGGAGGGACAGAUAGCCUGGCUGAGCUCUCUGGUCUCCUCAGCCCGGGUGCCAUUUUUCUCAGCCUCCCACGCUCCUGUGGACGAUGCCUGCUCUGACUUUUGUCGCUGCGCACCUCCUCUCCCCCCGAGGACCUCCCCGCGUGACUCGUUGGGAUCUGGGGUCUCGGGCGCCCAGAAGGAGCAGGGGGACCCGGCCCAGGUCACGGGAGAGCUGAAGAGACAGGCGAGGGGGUGGGAGCUGGCCGACCCCACUCAAGUGCAAAGGCAGCCCCAUCCCCACCCCCCACCCUUUUUUGCAGUCAUGUCUUUUCGAGCCUAAGUAGAGAGCAACUUGACCUGAAAAAAUUCGUGUCUCUAUGUGGGUGUUGGAACGUCUGCAGAUCUUUGUCCGGAAGCUGCGUGGUGCCCAGAGCCCAGGUUCUGUGCUUCAGGGAGCUGUUGUCCUUCGGGUUUGUUUUUGCAGCAGUGUGAUGGAUGGGUCCUCCUCAACGAGCCCCCGUGCCCGCUGCGACUGGCCUUUCUCCAGGACGCUGGGCCUGGCGGUGGCCCUGCUUCUUGUUGGUGGACAGGGCGCCACAGCGGAGGGCCGUGUCCGGGGGCCCAGCAGAGACCCCGAUGACUGGGGCCUGUGCGUGGUGCCUCACCUGGUGGUCCCUGGGAACUGAGCCCACCUUUCACUUCUUCCCCACAGAGAACUCAGGGGAGUUCAGCUCCAGAAGUAGGUGACAGCCUGCUGGAGACUCCGCUGAUGAUGGUGCUGGCGUUCAGAAGACAGUCGUCAUCCUUUGGGGUAAACGUGUUGCCUGUUUGCGUGUCUUAUUUGGAACACACAGAAAAAGGAGCUGCCUGGCAGCCUGGUUCUCUGCAGUAAGUAUCUGUCUGCAUUCUUUUAUCCCUUCGAAUGUCGGAAGUGGACGGACGCGUUGCUGAACUCAGCCGGCUCUUGUGCCUUCUUGGUUCUUUGCUGCACAGCCCCGCCCUUGGUCCUCCAGAAGCGGGUGCUGGAUCUGUUUCCCCAUGCUGCUGGAGAGCUGCAGAGAGCCUAGCAGUCAGUGUUCUGCCCCCGUGCAUCCCCCCCUCGGGUUCAGCAGAAGUCGAUUCUCCCUAAAAUGGAGCCAAGAAGCUGGGUCCCCCCCGAACUGAGUGUUCACGGGCUGAAUGGAAGGGCCCUGCCUGUGCUCACUGCCCCCAGCAGGGAGGUGACUCUCAGUUGCCUGGGUGGGGGAGUGGCGAGGGCGGGGAUGUGCCUUGCCAGAAUCUAGCAUGGUUCUCUGCCAAGUUCUAGCUCCAGAUCGCUAGGCCGCUAGGAACCUAGACUAUAUAUAGCGUUGUGCUAAGCAAUUCUUAUCGGACCUGUCUGUCCCCUCACCCCCACGGGGAGGAGAGCUUCUAUCAGAAAACCAGAACCUGGAGAGAGUGAGCCACCUCCACGGGGCCUUUUAUUCUGGGAAGGGGUGUGGGUAUGUGUGUGUGUGUGUGUGUGUGUGCACGCAUGCAUGCACAUGCAUCUGUGUGUGUACACGCAUCUGCAUCUGGUUGUCUGGUUCAGAGCUGCCAAGCUUUCUUUCCUUCCCUCUGUUUCAGAUGCUAGGAGAUUCAGGACCUUGCGGGUGCCGGCGAUAUAGGCUGAGGGGCGGGAGGGGCUGGUGGUUCUCGAAGGAUCCUGGGUUUGUUUGGAGGAGAGGCUGGCACCCAGUGUGGCUGAGAGCACUGCGUGGCCUCCGCUGUGUCUUAACAGCUUCCGGUUUGCCCUGCUUUGCCCAAGCAUGUCUUUUGACCUCUCCCUUCCUUCUUUGGAACCUUCUGCCUUCCCUGCCUUCCUCCAGCCCUGCCUUGUCCUUCCUCUGAGUCUCUUUGGGAUCGAUGAGGCAGCCCCAGCUCUGGGCAUCCGGGAGCUUGUCUGCACCCCGCCCUCACCCUUGUUUGGGGUUUCUGGAAGUCUGGCUUGACCGGCAGAAGGGGUCAGUUGUCCGCAGAGUAGCGGUGGUGAAUGAGUGCGUCUUGCUGGGACGAACAGAGCAGCAUGAUCUGGGUUCCUCUCAGAGAUGCUGUUGAGCCCACAGUUUGUGUGGUUCUGGGACUGUAAGUGCCGAUGGACAUGACGUGACCCUGGGCUUGUCAGCGAGCCACUGCCAGGCUGCUUAUUGGAAACCCAAUGCAGGAAGGAAGAUAAGAUCCCACCACCUCCCUGCCUCCCAGGUAAGUCAGGUGUGGGCUGUGCGGUCCGGCCCUCCCCCAGCCCCUCUCUGCCCACGGAGGGCGUUCUCCUUAGUGGAGAAGCCUCAGACUUCUCCAUUCAGAAUCUCCCAGACAAUUGCUCUCUUCUUUCCAUCUUCCUCCUCCUGGCUUUUCUGUGAAUGGGGUUAGUAACCAGUGAAGGCUUGGGGGCCGGGUGGCCAGCCUAAGUGAUCGGACGCCAGCGACAGUGGGAGUGGCCCCUGGCAGAACAACCGUCGGGCCUCCCGCAGUCACUGCCCUCCCCAGGCCCCUGCGUCCAGCUCUAGGUUCUGGGUGCUGAGCCCUCAGAGGGGCUGCGAGCCUGCCUGGGAGCUGGGCCUUCCUUUCCCCAUACCCUCUCUUACCUGGACGCCGGGGCAUCUUUAGCCUCACUGGGCCUUAGUCUAGGCCCAUGGCCUGGACUUUAUGGACUGUGGGCUGGGCAGUGAACUUUGGGGUUCUUUCCUUACCUUAAGUUUUUUUUGUUUUGAGUGAGUUACUUUCUUUCUCUAGGCCCUCAUUGCCUUUACUUAAAAAAAUAAUCCUGGUCCAGUGAGCCAUUGCAAAGCAUCUCCAGGCAGUUGACGCAGGAAUGUUUUUCUCGCUGCUGCACUAGAUACUGGUCACAAUAAUAGCGAUGGUGAUUAAAAAGGAUGAGGCCUACGGAACUGGGAGGUCUGUCACUUGAUGGAGAUGGUGCAGACUGAGGCGCUGUGCACAUUCUCAGGAGAUCUCUGUCCUGUCGAGUCGAUUCCUGCCCUGUCUGGGCCAGUAGGGCCGGAUGGAGUGAGCUGACAGCCGAUUGUCUGGGGUCUCAAGACCAAAGGGAUGGUGCUGGGGAAUUUUAUGAUGUUCUCGGAUGGUAUCACGAGGCCCCCUGUGGGAUCCCAGUUCUCCUCUUGUGCCUCAUGGACCUGGGUGGUGUUUCUGCCCCCACUCCCCCCGCCCACCCCUUUCCCCGGGAAGUCUGCUGCCUGCUGCCUCCCACUGUUUCAUCUUUGCCUCUUCCCAUCUGAGAAGAGACUCUGAGUUGGCCAUGAGCAGCCUGGGAUCCUUGCUGAGCGGAUUUGGAAGAGUCCGCUGUGUCUUCCUUCAAGGAAUCUGAAGCCUCAGCCCCUCUGGCAGGAAUGGAGUGAGGGAUGGCUAGGGGUGUUGGACCUGGAACAGGAAUAAAGCAGACAGAUCAGCUCUGGUGCAGCUGGGGAGAUGAAGCGGGAGCCGGCCAAGUCCCUCAAGAUGUGCCGGCUAGAGUCUGGCCAGCGCUGGCUGCCGGGCUGGAGCCAGAUGGAGCUGCUGGCCGUGCUGGGGAGCCGCGGCUCCCUGUGCUCAGCGGGUCCCCAGGCCUGGCUCCGGGUGCCCACUGCCCGUGCUCACAGCCCUGCCCCUGGCUCGUCGUUGGGGGGUCACCAGGGUGCAGAGGCUGGCGUUGCUCCCUGAGACCCUGUUGUCUCUGGGGCCUCUGGUAUCCACCCAGAUUGGGGCUUGGUGCUCCCCUGCCGACUUGCCCAGUUUUCUCCCUCAUCUCAUGCGUUCCUUCCUUCCUGCUCCCCGGCCUGGCUGCUCCAGACGUGCCGUGGAGCGUUGUGUCAGGAGCCAGGCUGGCAGAGCAUUUGGUAUCCUCCCCUGAGAGGGGGGCCAGGCAGAGCCGGCGCUUCUCUGUUGACAUUUGAGUCUGGGACCCGGGAGGUGGCUCGGGGGCCUCUCUCCGGCUGGGGUCCGACCGAGGUUAACAGGGCUGGUGGCCCUGGAGCCGCGUUGGUGCGGCUUUGCCGGGAGGUGUGCGGGAGGGGCCCUGCCAGGGGACCUGGUUGGUCAGCACCUUCCUGUCCAUCGACUCCUGGUCUGCUCAGGACCGCGCACUGUCUAAUGCACAGCUUGGCUCUGUUCCCUGGCACGAGUGCUCCCGGGGCUGCAGCGGGGCUUCAGUGAGCAUCUGUACUCCGUGCUGGUCACUUUAUUGGGCAUGUUGUUGCCGGCCCCCCCUCCCACCUCCGAUAUAUGCUAGAGCCGGCUGUCUGUGGGAGGCCCUCUUCAUCUUGUGUUUCUUUUCUGGGACUUGGAGUGUCUGUCAGGGAAGCGCAGACACGGUUUGGUUCCUUGCUAGCUCCCUCCACGGGAGCUGCUCGUAGGCAGAUGAGGCCAGAGAACGCCUCCAGCAGCCCCCCUGGGCCGGUGCAGUCGCUGGAGACCCGGGCAGGGGAGGAGCAGGGGGGCGGGGAUGGAGAGAGCCACGCGGGGCGGGGGGACGGGGGUGGGGGAAGAGUUGUGCAGCAUCUGACCACAGGAUCAGAUGAGCGGACAUGCGUGCGUGGAGCCCGGAUUGGGGUCUGUAACUAGGCUGGAAAGCCAGAGACAGGCCUCGGAGUCCUUGUUCUUAGCAUGCAGUCCAGGGAAGCCAGCCUUUGUUAGGCCCCCUUUUGCUUAUCUGAUUUCAUGCUCAGAACAAUCCUUUUAUGAUUGAAGACACAGUGAUUUGGUUAAGUGACUUAAGCAAGGUCACAAGCCUGGUGGGUGGUACUCCUGAGAUUUAAACUUGGGCAUCUCUGAGUCCGAAGCCUGCAUGUUUUCUUCACGCUGUUAGGCUGAAGCCCGAGCUGAGACCCUCAGAGGACUGGCAGCCGACAUGACCCAGAGGGCAAGGCCAGAUACUCUGUGAUCCCCGUGCACGGGCAGGUAGAUACAUUCCUUCCACAUGGUGUCUUCAGCCUCUGCGGUAUAUGUGCUAAGGACAGUGCUCAGCAUGGGGUUGCUGGACUCAACAAAAUCAAGUUUCUGCCCCUGAAGGGGUGUAUAUCCUCACGUGGGGAAGAUACUGUUAAUGCUAGUAAAUGGGAUUUAAAGAUAGACAUAGAAGGAAAAGAAGGACCCUCUUCCUUCUGCAGAAGCGGGAUCCAGAUGGUGGUCGGGGAGGGUACUGGGGAGACUGAAGGACUUUGGCCCCUGGGGAAGCCAUGUUGAUUGAACUUCCAGAGAGAACUAACACACGUUCUAACCCUUCUCAUUUCCCACCAGCUGGGAAAAUCCAUCCACAGCCCACAGACGCUCACAGAAGCUUGCAGUGGGUCAGGAAUCAGGGUGGCCAUAGCUGUCAAAACUUUGGUCACCAGCAGACUAGGGUUGUGUUUUUUUUUUUUCCCCCACUAGCCACGGCUACUCCUGACCUCUUGUCUCUCCCACCCUUACCAGGCUCCAGCUGGCAUCUUCCCCAGGGCCUGGUCACUGUCUUGUCCAUGCAGCACCGGGGGACACUCGGGGCCAGUGUUUGCCGAGUCACUGGUAGAACCUGUGCCCACAGGAGGCAGAGCUCCGUGGAGCUGCUCCUCUGCCAGCACGCGUGGUUCCAAGAUCCUCACAAUAGGGAAGGGAAGAGAGGGGAGUCCCUUGGUAUCAGAUGCUCAGAGGAGCUUUGUGUCCCGAGAGGUUGAGGCAGGUCGGUAGCUGGGGAUGGGGGAGGGCAUGUUUCCUGUGUGCAGCGCCAGGACCCGGGGCCUGUUGACACGGUGGGGGUGCCGCGGCUGCCGGGCCCAGGGUGAGGCAGGCCACGUGACUCGCUGCUCUGGCACCGCAGUCCCGCCGGCCGGCCCACCCUGGCCUUGGAGGCUGCCACCUGCUGCCAGGCAGCCGGGGUUGCAGUGGGACCGAGUGUGGGCCUCGGUGGUGCGUGCCUGUGGGGGCUCACAGAACCCGUAGACGAGUCAGCAGGCCUGGGGUUCUGGCUGCAUUGGUAAAAACGUACUCCCUAGCCUUACCUCUGUGGGCCUCGGUUUCAUUGUCUAUAAAAACGAGAGGGAUUGAACUAGAAUUUUUUUGGAGGUUCCAGUCAGCUCUGAUACGGGGGCUCCCUGGAUGUUUGUGGAGGUAUUUCUUUUUUUUUUUUUUAAUUAUGUAUUUCUUUUUGGCUGUGCUGGGUCUUCGUGGCUGUGUGCAGGCUGUCUGCAGUGGCAGAGAGUGGGGGCUACUCUUCACUGCCCUGCUUGGGCUUCUCAUUGCGGUGGCUUGUCCUGCCUCGGAGCACAGGCUCUGGGCUUCAGGAGCUGCAGCACAUGCGUGCAGCUGCACCGCGGGGGUGGGGGGGUAAGAUCCUCCUGGACCAGAGAUCGAACCUGUGUCCCCCCGCCGCAUUGGCCGGCAGAUUCUUAACCACUGGACCACCAGGGAAGCCCCAUGGAGGUAUUUCUUAGCCAGAAACUCGGGACCUGCGUUACGAGGAGAGGGGAGGGACCCCAGAGACGUGUCUGAGUGCAGCGGUAACCGUGUUUCCUGAAGGGACACGGUUGGAGUGAAUUAGGGUGGGCGGGUGGAGGCACUUUUCAAAAUACCCCAGAAGUAAAUGCGAAAGGUGAAGACCAUGAAAGUGUCUGCUGAGGACCCUCCAGGUAACCAAGGACAUGGACUCCAGCACCUGCUAGGAGCUUGUCUAGAGACAGGCCGUGUGGGAACUGCUGCAGGGCUGCAGGGGGGUGACCUGACACGCCAUGCUCCGGAGAGAUUUUCCCUCCCUUUUUGGCCCUAAAUCCUGGAGAGGAAAUAGGUCUGCAGGGUCCUUGUGUCCUCUGCCUUCCCUGAAACUUCUCAGGGUCUGUGCCCCUGUUGCUGUCAGAAAGUUUCCCUUUAUAUUUAGCCUUCUUUUCUCAUGUGAUUGUUUAAGCCCUUCCAUUAAAAAAAAAAAAAGACAGGAGCAAAGAAAAUAGAAAUAUCUCAGAGCCACCAGUUCCAUUUUGGCUUUUUAGUCUUGAGCCCCUCCUUAAAAGACAGCAAAAAUGAAACGUAUGGCAAAGCGCAGGGUCCCCAGCCUUUCUGGACUUGUGUGCAGAGCCGGGCUGCGGCAAGGCGUGGCGGGGCCCCGGCCUCCCUGCUCCAUGGUGGCCUUGGUCUCUGACGUCCACUGCGUCUCCAGGGGUGUGUGGGCAGGAGCCCCGAGGCAGAGGCGCAUGCUGUGCAACCCGCUAGACAGAAUGCAGAGCUUUAAAAAUAGCUGCGUUUCUCCCAAGAUGCUAUCUGCUCGCCAGUCUCCAGGACACUUUACCUGGGGUUCGUCACUAUGAAUCCGGCCUCCUGGACUCCCCAAAUGGUGGUGGGAACAGGGAUUGGGGCUCGGAUACAGGCAGGAGAGGAAUUGCCUGGUAACCGUGGUCUCACCUGCACCCCAUGAUGUUUCACGGUUCUGUUCACGUUUGCUAGCUCUUCUGACCUCCACGCCCUGUGAGGGCGGGUGGGUGGUAUGAGCCCCGUGCCUGAUGACCCUGAACUGGAGAGAAUCCUGCUUGUACCUGCGUAAUUUGGGCCACGUGCAUCCAGGUCCCCUGACUCUGAGUGUUCUAGAUAGGGGACCCAGGGGUGGGGUGGGGACGGCGGUGGGUCUUGGGCAGUUGACUUGGCCAUUCCAGGUCUCAGGUCUCUUCUCUAUAUAUUGAAGGGGCAGGAAACCUCAGAAUAUCUGGGUUCUCUGUUUUUUCAACUCUCUCGGAGCUCUCGUGAAGACUGGCGUGUGUUCUGUCUCUGGGAAGCCAGCCAUGCACCAUGCAUUUCUGGUGAGGUUUCUUGCAUUUGGAAGCUUCUGGAAUAUGCUGUGCUUCCGACCAUUCUGACACGUCUGUACAGCACUUCAUGCUUGUGCAUAUGGUCUGCUUCUGCCAAGUAGCUCUCUCAGAAAUGAGGCCUCAUGGUGGGGUCUCUGAGACUGUUUUCCCAUCGGACUUGGAAGCGUUGCUUAUGGAGCUCUGCCUAGCUGCUCGUUACCUGUUUGCUCGCUGCUUAACAUGCAGCACCUGCUGGAAGAGCCGGCUGAUGUGUGAUGGGAACACUCACUUCAGCUCUGGUUGUUUGCAUGAUGACUGAUUGGAAGAAGUAGACCUUUCCCGUGGAGAAGAAGGUGCUCAGAGAAUCCUUGGGCAGCCGUGUGUUCUGAGUACUGAGCCCAGCCCCCACCCUCCACAAGAGCUUCUGAAGCAGAGCGUGGGCUGCAAGACUCCUUGGCCAUGUGGCCCUCUGUGUGAUCUGCAUUUGGUUAGGAAGGGGGAAGGGGUGUUUGUUUAUAGCAUAUUUAACCAGGGUGACUUAGGCUUUAUCUGGAGGGUGUUUGAGGAAGGAUUGGGGUUGGCUGGGGGGCAGCACACUUCACACGUCUGUACCAUCUGGCCGUUCGUAUCCCCUGAGUGCAGCCCCGGCUUGUAGAGAGACCUUGUGAUGGGGAAGCCACCUGGGAGCUGUUUUGGUGGCCACAGACUUCAGGGACUUGACGUGUGAACGUUUGUCAUUCUGGAGUCUGGCUGUCUGGAGGAUGGAGCGGAGGAGGUCUGCACCGGCACAGGGAGGGGGUUUAGGCUACACCCCGGGGAGGACCACCAUGGCGUCCCGACGGCUCCCGAGGAGAGACGAGGCUUCUUUGAGAGGGGGACCCAGGCGGUCCUUGGGAGAGUCUUUCGGGCCUGCGUCUGUGGACGCCGGGAGCAGCAGGAGGUGUGGGUGCUAGGAUCCCCCGCGGGCUCCGCUAGUCCUUUCUGCCUCUGAGGCACGCCUGAGCUCGGGAUGGGGGACACGCGAACGUUGUUUCCCUUUGCAGAGAGGACUUCUGGCACCGACUGCGUAGGACUGAUUGUAUUUGCGAAUAAAAAGGGAGAAAGGCACGUUCGCCCCUCAUCCCUGCCGGGAGAGCGCUGAGCUCUCUGAUCCUGAGUUGUAUCAGCACCGCGGCCAUCCUGCCGGCUGGCUUCUCUGCACUCUAGGGAUCGCGGACAGGGAUCAGAGAUGCAUUGUGUGAGGGAGUGUGUGUGUGAGUGAGUGUGAACUGUGUGUGUGGGAGAGAGAGUAUGUAUAUGUGAAUUGUGUGUGUGGGGGGGAGAGAGAGACUGUGUGUGUGAGUGUAUAUGUGAAUUGUGUGUGUGUGUGACUGUGAACUGUGUGUGUGGGAGAGUGUGUAUAUGUGAAUUUUGUGUGUGUGGGGGAGAGAGAGACUGUGUGUGUGUGUGUGUAUUUGUGAAUGUGGCACAUGAGGCAGGGCCAUACAUCUGUUGGCUGGAGAAAGGCAGGAGAGGGAAGAGGAGCUCUCGGGGCAGGUGCACAGCUCUGGGACCGCCGGCAUUGUUGGCUGUUCUAAAGGCAUGGGGGUGAGUUGAAGCACACCUAACAUACUAUUUAGAAGGGACCAAAGUCCAAAAAUCAACCAGUUAAUGUCUAAAUGAGGGUUGUGUUAAAUACAGAGAAUCAUAUAUCCUUUAGUAUUACAACCGCCUGCAUGUUUAACGUAGAAAGACCCGACAAGUCAGGAGCCUUCUGCUGCCGAGCCUCUGCCCGCGGCCACCACGUCUGUGAGCUCCUGCUGCUUUUGUGUCAGUUUUCGGCCUCUCUUCUUGCCUGUUUCCCACCCUUGCUCACUCCUUAGGCAUACAGGAAUAUCUGUCCGCACGCCCGUGGUAUCGUUUCCUUGGGGACCUGUUCUUCCAGCAUCUCUGACAUCGUAAAUGGUGUUCCCUUCGUUUCACAUGUGAACACAGCGCAGGCUUGCUGCAGAGGUGAACCAUUUCUGAGACGGGGCGGCUUCCCGCCUGCUCCUGGAGGAGGUCGUCUAGACCCCUGAGGAGAGGGGAUCAAGGGUACCCACGUGGGGGCCAGCUCGGGGGCCCCCCGCGCCAGGCUUCCUGUCUGGGGUGGGCGUUGCUCAGGCGUGAAUCCCCCAGCCAUCCUAGCUGUUGCUUCUUCUCAGCUUGAGCCCUGAGUAGCAGCCUUGAAAGUCUGAGACCCCGUCCCCCUGCUAGGUUGACAGUGCCAGCAGAGAGGGUCAGAGAGGAAGUGAACAUGGGCUCCCGGCCACGGGGCUCCCUCCGAACCAGGUGAGUUCUGUUCAGAAAGGAACGCGUCUAAUCUUUUGGCCCUGACGGCCCUAUUUGUGUUUGUCUCCUUCUCUCUCUCUUCCCUCCUCUCUCUCCCUCAUCUCCCUCCCCCGCCUCCAGAAGAAUUUAAUCUGCCGGACAACAAACAAUACUGUUAUAAAACUUGGAAAACAAGAGGGCGAGGCCUCCCUGACAAGGGAAGGGCACGCCGGGUAACUGCCAGGGAGCCUGCCAGGCCCGAGAUGGAGCCGGGCGAGGGCCCAGUUGGCUGGGCACCUGGGCGCCCGCCCGGGCCUGGCCCACCAGCCGUGCCAUCCCCGGUCCAGAGGGGGAGGAACCGAAACGCAAGUGGGGGCCCAGAAGCACUUGAAAAGGGGAAGUAGCCUGUGUUCCCCUCUCCGAUCUGAUGGGAAUGCACUAGACUGUGAAACUCUCCUCCCGCCCUCCUCCCCGCCCUCCUCCUCUCCCUCUGCCCUCCUCCCCCUCCCUCCUCCCACCACUCUCUGUUGCAGGUCCUGGACUGGCAGACCCAGGUCCCGAGGCUGGCAUAAGCAGUUUAGGUGCAGCUACCUGCUGGGCCAGCUGCAGGCGAGUCAGGAGAGGAGGGUUCUCCGGGCCGCCCGGCACUGCAGACCUACCCCCUGCCUGCCCUCCCCCACCUAGGGAAGUGGAACCAGGUCAGGGGCAUGCCCCGGUCCACAUGCUCUGCCAGGUGUGGGCCCAGGUACCAGGUAGAAUUGCCACUGGGAGGUCUGUGGGUGCUCCCCGGGCCUCCUGGUGCCCACAGGGGCCACGCUCCCGGGAGGAUGUCCACCUCCGGGAGAGGCCCCGCUCUCCUUCCAAGAGGAGUCCGGCAGCGCCGCAGAGGCUGGGCAUGCCUCUGGACAUGUUCCUGCUGACAGACACAGUGCUUCUCCCCACAGGCAGGCAUGCAGCCCUGUGAAUGGGGCUCCCAGGGGGUUGGGGGGUGGCCUUCGCCUCCUGUUCACUCCCAGUGGCAGGGACGCUGGGCUCUGGGGGUCUCUUCCCCCAGCUUCCAGGGUUAGAUUUAACCUGAGCCUGAAGUUUCACCUCCGAGUGCCUCCUUACCGGGUCAGUAAAUGAUGUUGGGGGGACAAGCAGGGAAUGUUGGUGAAAGCUUCUCCUGGGGACCCGCUCUGGCACGGAGCCGCUAACUGUGGUGGGCAUCGUGCGUGUGACAGACCAUCCGCACACUCCCUUUCCUGCUUGUGGAAAGCGCCAGCUUCUGUGAAGGCAGUCCAGCACUGUGCCCACCCGCACCCAGGCGGAGCCGCUCUCUGGGCAACAGGGAGUCAUCCUUGACCCCAUCUUCACGCCCCCCGCCCCACCGUCUCUUGCUGCCCCCUCAGGCCCCGCGGCAUCCCCAGGCAGGGUAGCCUUGUGCGUCCUCCCGGCCCAGGGCCUCCAUGCCCUGUCCUGAGUCCAGGCCAUGGGGAGAUUUCCAGACCCAAGUCUUUGGUGGUGGUGUCAAGGAAGGGACGGAAGCCUCAGAACGUAGGUCCCCCGUACCCCAGCCCCAGGAGAAACCGGAAGUGCAGGUGCUGGGCCCAUCCCAGCUGAGAAGGCAGUGAUUUCUGGCGUCAUUAUCUCAAGGGUGAUGUGCGUGCGCAAUGGGGAGGGGUGAUGGUUAGUGGGUCCGCGCCACCCCGGCUUUGGGAUCCAGGGCUGGUGAAGUGUGGUGGUUCCCGACGCCGAGCCCUCCAUGCUCUCGUGCUCCCGCCCCCCUGUCCCUAUACCUGUCGUUUUAUUUCCCUUUCCUGAUUCAUUAACCACAAGCUAGUUGGCCACAGGCCCCACCCUGAUCACUUGGAGACAAAAUGUUCAGGACACUGGGCCGGGGCUGGAGCUGAGGGUGGCAGGAAGCUGGGCCGGGCCUCAGUGUUCAGAGGGACAGUGGUCCAGGAGUGCCUCGAGGGCAGACCGCUCCCCGUUCUCCAGGAGGGCCUUCUUGGGGCCCUUGUCUCCCCAAGAUGACUCUUCCUCACUACCCGGAGCCCCGAAACCAGCAUUCCCAGCGGCAGGAAGAUGGAUGAGCUGGCCUCCACUUCCGGCUCUCCUCCCCCGCUCCGGCUGGAACUUGCGUCAGUCGUCAGUCGUGUAAGUAGCUGUGACUCAGCACCCAGCGGGUCGGAGGGAGGGGGAGGCUGCCGCCUCCCAGGAACCUUACCGGCUCUGGAUCUGAACACGCCUUGGUGGCGCAGGACAUGGCUGGUAGCCCUGGUUCCUGUGUAUUCUGUGUCUCUGCUUACAGAUCUCAUAAAUAAGGGUUCUUCUCCUUCCUGUUUUCCUCCUUUAUUAUUUUUUUUGUAGGGGGUCACCAUACUGGGCAUAGGAUUCUUAGGGCUUUAAAUGACACAGACAGCAUCAUUUACAGAAUGCAGUAGACACUGUCUUUGCCAUCUCUGGACUGUUCUUGAAGCAGAGGCCCAUGAAUUGUAUUUAACCCUCAGAUGUUUGGUUUUGGCCUGUGCAGUUUUUGUGUCUUAUUUCUUGUUUAGCUGCAUCUGACUCUGCGUGCCUUUAGACUGAGCAGGGCCACCGGACUUCUGCUGCACACUGUCCCUGCUUUGCUUGUCUUAUUUCCUGCCUGGCCCUCCUUACAUUUGAAGGUGCAGUGACCAGUCUGCCCCUGCCCCUCUCUUUUCGGAUGAGCACCCUGAGGCCCGUUCCAGAAAAGUCCAGGCCCCCCGUUCUCAGAACCUGGGCUGAGCAGAAAUUAAAGCUGCCGCUGUGUUCUGAUGCACUGUGCGGUGACCUUUCCUCCACCCUUGGGUCCCUGCCCAGGCAGAGGAGUUUUCGUAGGCAUGAGGGGGGUGGGGAAAAACCUCCAAAUAGAACAUGGACACGGAAGUGGCCUGGAGCAGCCCUGAGGCCCCCAAAGCCUCCUGCGAGGUGGCACCUUCCAGGGCCAAUGUCCCCACUCGUCCAGGGCUGGCUCUCCCUCCUGGGCAGCCCGCUAAGCCCCUGUCCACUGAUUGGCUUGCCCAGGGCUGCUCGGUUGCGGUGGGAAAACCUGGAGGCUUCAGCAUGCUGGGGCUUUCCCAGGCUGCCUUCCUCCAGAUCCAGGAGGCCUCCGGGCUGGGUGCCAGGGAGAGCAUGCCGCUUCCAGCCGCCUUGGAUCACCUGGCUGCAUGCAACUUGGGGACAGAACCAGCGGCUGGGUUCAGGUAAGCGAGUCGCUCCCUGCCUGACUGACUUGGAGAAAGAAGCUUGGUUCUGUCGGGAGGUCUGAGACCUCAACAGACCCUUUUAUCUGGUGGGCUUGGGAGCGCAAAAGCUGUGGAUCCUAAGGUAACUCCCCCCGUGCCCUUUUAGAGUGUGCUACAGCAGUGCGUUGCUGAUGAUCUCUCGUCUCUCUUUCCAGGGCACUGAGUGUUUCAGAGCUCCGGAGUUGGGAGCAUACACUUGGGUUCAUGCCCCCGAGCUCCCUCGGUGACAGUUGCCUGUCCACCAUGCGUGGCCUGUGCUCUGCACUCAGAGCUGACACUUCCCGGGGAGCUGGGGAUUAGUCACCCUCAUGACCUGACGACCCAAGUGUGUUCUGAAGGGCCAGAGCAAGGUGGAGUGUGAGGGGAGCUUAACCAAAUGCCGGGCUAGACUGGGGUGCUUUUCUGAGGAUGGGGUAGCUCCGCUGAGACCUGAAGGAGGGCUUGAGACCACCAGGCUUACUGUGCGGGUGGACUGGGGUGGUUCAGGGCUGGGAGUUUUGGGACAGUAGAUGCAGAAUAUUCCACCAAGAGGGAGCAGCAUGUGCAGAGAGGCCUUCUGGAGGGGGAGAGACAUUCUGGGUCACCAAAGGACUCCUGUAAUACCUUCGGAAAGGGGGUGGAUAGUGGCAGCUGGAAGUUACUAAGGAAGAAGAGUUUGGCUGCAGUAGAAAGCAGCAAAGCUGAGAAUUGCCAAAUGCAGAUCUCCUUCAACCCCCUCCUUUUAUAUUUUAUUCGUAUCCUGUAGUCAUGACUCACGUUUAGUCUUGACCUUAAGCCUCAGUGAUGACCUGAUUCACACCCCAACCCCACUGACCCCACCUCUGCUGUUGACCGCAGGUGCCCAUACUUAGAGCCCUUCCUCCCAGGCAGUGCCGACCCCUGCCUGGCCCAGACGCCCCCGUCUGUGACUGAGGCCUUGCAGAGCCCCACAGGUUGCAGAGGCGUCCACCACAGAUGCUGCAGGGCCUUCCUCCCCAGCGUCUUCCCCACUGCCGCAGCCGCGCAGUGGAGACCCACCAGGCACGGCUUGAGGGAGAACGAAACCAGUAUCAAAGCACCGGGUGUGCUCCCAUCUCCACCCAAGUUUAACACGCUGGACAGUCAGCAACACCCCGCCGUCCAUGCAGAAGCACUGCCUAGGAUUCCCACCUGCCCUCAGUCUUGCUCAUAAUCAGGGGCAAGGGCAGAGGGAGACAGUCGGCAAACCACAAAGCAGGUGGCGGUGGGCAGAGGGGCAGGAGCACAGACGCUGGGGUCAGACCCGGCUUGGACCCGGCUCACCAGUCAUGAGACUGUGGACAGGUUUUUGAACCACAUUGAGGAUCAGUUUCUUCUGCAAAAACAGGAAUAAUCCCUGGUUCGUGGUGAGAAUUGAAGAGCACAGCUCGGUGUUCGCAUUUUAUUUCCUUCUCUUCCCUAGAGCAGCAUGUCACGUUAUUUACAGGAGGCAGAAAAAACAACGCUUUUAUCUGGAGUCUUGAAGAGUUGGUAGGGAACCUGAGAGGUAAAGAUUCUGUCUCUUGUUUCUCUCGGUUAUGGUAUCAGGAAAUACAGACAUACUUUCUUAGCUUCACCCACAGGAGAUGGAAGUCUGAUUUGAACCCUGUUCGCACAUCUUAUUUUCAAGCUGAAUUUGAAAACAAUGCAAAACAAAAGUCCAUUCUUGUAUUAGAGAGUUGUCUACUUAAUACAAUUUUAGGACACCAGUAGAGAAUAAGAUUGGUGGCUCACGGGGUCAUACUUGAACGUCCUGACCGCUCAUCUGUGAUGGGGAAGGGCGAGCCCGUGAUCUUCCUUACUAGGGUCCCUGGCCCAGGUGAAACCCACCUGUGUGUAGUGGUUAGAGCCUCCCAGGCAGAAAGGGUGCUUGUUUCCUGAUGCAAGGAGAUAACAUCAGAAAAUGCUUUGCAGACCGUGAAAUAGUUUAUGAAACAGGGCAAAACUAAUGUAAAUGUUCACACAGUUCAAUGAUAACUUUCACUAUUUAAUUUCAUCAUAUAUAUAAUAAUGUGAAGGAACUGGUUGUGGAAUUGAAUAAAUUAGCCUAGAAUUCAUGACUUUUGUAUGGCGAUUGUGUAUGUGACUUACCAGCUUUGACUUUCAUGUUCUUUGAGCAUCACUUUGUAACUCUUCUCUGUGCCUUUUGAAGGGACCCUUAUGUCCCGUGGCAAGUAUAACUGCAGUAAGACAUCUUUUUGCUCAGGCAAAGGCUGGGUCUUCUGAUCGCAUCUCCCUCCUUUCUUCAGUGAGAUCCUCUUCUUCUGGAAGCUGGUUUCACAUGGUGGCUUAGAUUUUUCCAUCUUUGUAUCUAGCACCAUUUGAAAUCAGUGUUUUAGGAGUAAGAAUUGCAGCACAGCCAAAGGCCACCUUCAGAGGAGCUGCUGCCCUGGGACCAGCUCCCCUCCUCCUGCCACCUGAGCUGGUUCAAGAAAAGAAGAAUUUGAGAAGAAAAGUAUAUUCUUGAACAUGUUGGGUUGUGGAAGGGGGACAGUGCAGGGAUGGGGCUGUGUUCAGUAGAAACUCAGAGGCUUGAGCAGAGCCAGGGUUUGUGAUAGUCUUCCUAUGGACAGGUAGCAGCAGCCACCAGCAGGAACCUGUUGGUGGGGCCUUUCAGCGUGUGACUGGGCAGCGCUGGGUUGGGUACUUGACCGCAGUCGGCAGCGGGAGGGCCAUGCACUGGAAGGACUCUCUCACCACACCUGCACUGUCCACCUGCUCCUACGCGCCGUGGAACAUUCAGCUGCAGUUGCUGAGUAGGUGAAAUCAGACUUGCCACCUGUACCAUCAAGGUGUGGACCCCACUGAGCACCACCGGACCCAUCUCUUACACAGGCUGACCGAUUUCUCCUGGUGUUCAGAGUCUGUUUUUGUCUAGCACCAUUUGAAAUCGGUUAUGAUGUAGGGGGAAAAGCAGCAGCCUCGAGGUCUCGUGCCAAGUCUGGUCAGCAGCAGCCUGUGGCUUCCUGGAAGAUGGAUGGGCAGAGAGAGGGGGAGGGAGGUUACACCUUUUCCUACAAUGGGUAUUGACCCAUUUUGGGUCAAUACAUCUACAAUUCUUUAUGCACAGGUAAUAGAUCAUUUAGUGGAUUUUUAGAAACAAAUCACCGUAGUGUACCUAAUGUCCUCAGUUUGCUAAAAUGUGAUAGUGCUGUAAACUCCGAAUUGGUUUCUGUUAAAUUAUCUUUCUGUUCAUGCAUCCUGACCUUAAUAAAUAUUUACUGUAUUCAACUUA